CCGAGCUACGGCGAGGGCAAACUGGUAGAAACUAAACUGCCGAGAAACAGUCCUGAUGGCGAAAGGGAGGAGUGUUCGUACCGCAAUCCGACACAGGUAGACGGCCAGAAUAUGGUAAGGCGCUCGAGAGAACCCUCGUUAAGGAACUCGGCAAAAUGGCCCCGUAACUUCGGGAGAAGGGGUGUCCUGAUACUUGUAGUUUCUUGCAAACGAAGGGUAUCGGGAUCGCAGUAAAGAGGCCCAUGUGACUGUUUAGUAAAAACACAUGUCUCUGCAAAGUCGUAGAUUCAAGACGACGUAUAGGGACUGACACCUGCCCAAUGCCGGAAGGUUAAGGGGAGAGAUUAUUCUGACUUUGUCGGGAGAAGUCUCAAACUGAAGCCCCGGUGAAUGGCGGCCGUAACUAUAGUUUGGACCACUCGCCAUAAAGCGAUGGCGGGCAAGCUGUGGUUCCGUUAACAAAUCUGGCUAUAUGCUGGGAAGUCCUGUUAGGCUAAUAGUACAUUCCGAGAGAUACGGAAUAGUAACAAUCUAUUAGAUAGGGACUAUCAGCAGGAAAGACCUGGAGGAGGUCUCCGGAUGAGAGAAGGAGUGGGGUACUAUUUAGCAGGUUUUGCCGAUGGAGAAGGAAGUUUCAAUGUUUCCUUCCGGGCAAGACAAGACUAUAAAGCUCCGUGGAAAAUCUCCCUUUGUUUCAAUAUCUCCCAAAAAGAGAAAGUUAUUCUUGCCUUAUUCAAACGCCAUCUGGGGUGUGGAAUUUUACGCAUGAGACCCGAUGGUGUUUGGUAUUACGAGGUGAAUAACUUUAAUGCUCUUUGGGAAAAAGUGAUUCCCUUCUUUAAGAAAUACAGAUUUCUCUCUGCUAAAAAGAAACGUGAUUUUUCAAAAUUCUGUCAAAUAGCGAAAAUAAUAAAAAAGGGAGAACAUCUCACCGAAAAGGGUAUCAAAAAAAUUCUUGAAAUAAGAAGAGGGAUGAAUGAGGGAGGUAAAAGGAGGUAUAGUAAUUCGGAGAUCUUAAAGAGACUUCAGGAAUCCUCAGAGACUAUACGCCAGAUCCGUCAAGAAGAUUGGCGGAAUGAGAUAGUCCGGUCUUCUGGGAAACCAGAAGUUAACAUAAACGAACGGUCCUAAGGUAGCGAAAUUCCUAGUCGGGUAAGUUCCGACCCGCACGAAUGGUGUAACAACUUGGGCGCUGUCUCAACGGGGGGCUCGGCGAAAUUGUAGUAGCGGUGAAGAUGCCGCUUACCCGCAGGUAGACGAAAAGACCCCGGAACCUUUACUGUACCCUGGUAUUGGAUUUUGGUCCGGUAUGUGUAGGAUAGGUGGGAGGCUGUGAAGUCCUGACGCUAGUUGGGAUGGAGCCGACGGUGAAAUACCACUCUUAUCGUACUAAAGUUCUAACCCUGAACCAUGAAGCUGGUCAGGGGACAAUGCCAGGCGGGCAGUUUAACUGGGGCGGUUUCCUCCUAAAGAGUAACGGAGGAGUCCAAAGGUUCCCUCAGUGCGGUCGGCAAUCGCACGUUGAGUGUAAAGGCAUAAGGGAGCUUGACUGUGAGUCCGACAGGACGAGCAGGGGAGAAAUCCGGGCUUAGUGAUCCGGCGGUGGCAAGUGGAAGCGCCGUCGCUCAACGGAUAACAGGUACUCCGGGGAUAACAGGCUUAUCGGUCCCGAGAGUUCAUAUCGACGGACCGGUUUGGCACCUCGAUGUCGGCUCACCGCAUCCUGGGGCUGGAGAAGGUCCCAAGGGUCCGGCUGUUCGCCGGUUAAAGCGGUACGCGAGCUGGGUUUAGAACGUCGUGAGACAGUUCGGUCUCUAUCUCCUGUGGGCGCAGGAUACCUGAGGGGAGUUCUCCUUAGUACGAGAGGACCAGGAGGAACGAACCUCUGGUGUACCAGUUGUUCCGUCCGGAGCAGAAGCUGGGUAGCCAUGUUCGGUCGGGAUAAACGCUGAAAGCAUCUAAGCGUGAAGCCCACCCCAAGAAGAGGUAUCCCUGAAGGCAUCCCGUAGACUACGGGCUUGAUAGGUCCCAAGUGUAAGCACCGUAAGGUGUUGAGCUUAGGGAUACUAAGGAAGCCGUUUGGCUUGACCAC
rnacentral:rRNA from 1 species